UGUUGAUUUUCUUGGAGAAGAUUGCUGAAGGCUGGUUUUCCUGCAGGGAACCUGGCUGUUCUCCUUUUCUCGUCAUCACAGGAGCUCAGAUUUGAGCAGUCUUGUAACUUCCCCAGCCUUGAUUUUCUUCAUCCCAACAAUGAGGAACUGAACAAUAGGCAAGACAAACCCCAAGAAAGAAACUAGCAGAACAAAACAAAACAAAAAGGAGCAGAGGAUGACAGGAAGAGAAGAAUUGCUCUGAGAAAGAAU